rnacentral:misc_RNA from 1 species
AAGUCGUAACAAGGUAACCGUAGGUGAACCUGCGGUUGGAUCAUUAAAAAAUAUUUGGUCUUGUGCCAAAUUAACAUUUGUGUGCACUAUUGUCUGUCUUUGGUAGUUCUCGUUGCCCUCGGGUUUAACAGCCCGAGCGCCUACCUCCGGGUUGGGCUACCGCCUUUUUUGAAAAACCUGUUUUUGUUUGUUUUGUCUGAACGAAGAGUUAGUCUUUAUUGAUUAAUGAUUUGAAUACAACUUUUGACAACGGAUCUCUUGGCUCUC